CUUAAUUGGUACCCUACAGGCCUUAGAGAAGGAGAAUAGGCAGUUGAUGAAUAGGAUGACAACAAUGGAACACCAAAAAGUCAUCUCUGAAAACCAUGAGACAAAAGUUAAACAGCUGCAAAAAAAAAUAAACUCUCUUGCUGAUGCCCGUUCAGAGAAUGACAAACUACGCAAGUUGAAUAAAGCCCUGGAGACAAAAUAUGCUCAGGCAAACUCAGAACUCACUGAAAAUAAGAUAAACCUACAAAACACAGAAG
rnacentral:lncRNA from 1 species